rnacentral:rRNA from 1 species
ACGAACGCUGGCGGCGUGCUUAACACAUGCAAGUCGAACGGAAAGGCCCUGCUUUUGUGGGGUGCUCGAGUGGCGAACGGGUGAGUAACACGUGAGUAACCUGCCCUUGACUUUGGGAUAACUUCAGGAAACUUGGGCUAAUACCGGAUAGGAGCUCCUGCUGCAUGGUGGGGGUUGGAAAGUUUCGGCGGUUGGGGAUGGACUCGCGGCUUAUCAGCUUGUUGGUGGGGUAGUGGCUUACCAAGGCUUUGACGGGUAGCCGGCCUGAGAGGGUGACCGGCCACAUUGGGACUGAGAUACGGCCCAGACUCCUACGGGAGGCAGCAGUGGGGAAUAUUGCACAAUGGGCGGAAGCCUGAUGCAGCAACGCCGCGUGCGGGAUGACGGCCUUCGGGUUGUAAACCGCUUUCGCCUGUGACGAAGCGUGAGUGACGGUAAUGGGUAAAGAAGCACCGGCUAACUACGUG